rnacentral:rRNA from 1 species
AACGAACGCUGGCGGCAUGCCUAACACAUGCAAGUCGAACGAGACCUUCGGGUCUAGUGGCGCACGGGUGCGUAACGCGUGGGAACCUGCCCUUAGGUUCGGAAUAACUCCCCGAAAGGGGUGCUAAUACCGGAUAAUGUCUUCGGACCAAAGAUUUAUCGCCUUUGGAUGGGCCCGCGUUGGAUUAGCUAGUUGGUAGGGUAAAAGCCUACCAAGGCGACGAUCCAUAGCUGGUCUGAGAGGAUGAUCAGCCACACUGGGACUGAGACACGGCCCAGACUCCUACGGGAGGCAGCAGUGGGGAAUAUUGGACAAUGGGCGAAAGCCUGAUCCAGCAAUGCCGCGUGAGUGAUGAAGGCCUUAGGGUUGUAAAGCUCUUUUACCCGGGAUGAUAAUGACAGUACCGGGAGAAUAAGCUCCGGCUAACCCCGCG